GGCUAAAACGGUGAAACCCCGUCUCUACUAAAAAUACAAAAAAUUAGCCGGGCGUAGUGGCGGGCGCCUGUAGUCCCAGCUACUUGGGAGGCUGAGGCAGGAGAAUGGCGUGAACCUGGGAGGCGGAGCUUGCAGUGAGCCGAGAUCCCGUCACUGCACUCCAGCCUGGGCGACAGAGCGAGACUCCGUCUCAAAAAAAAAUAAAUAAAAAAAAUAAUUAGUUGCUCACUGCCUAACCAAUAAAUGUUAGUGUACUGGGCAGGGAAGGGAAAGAGAAGAAUUAGGUUGAUGUAAUUCAUUUAUUAUCUGGAAGCUCAAUAGGGAAUGUGACAUGAAUGAAUUUAAGCAAGUCUGGGCAUAUUGGGAGGCAAUUCUCCAUGUAUGUCUUGCAAAUAAAGGCAUUGGUGAUGAUCACUCUGUCUUUUCGAGGAUGUUGGUAGAGCAAACAGCUUUUGAAGAUAGAGAUGAUUUCUCUCUCUGAAGGAAAAGGUGUUUGUCUACUUUGCAGUCUAAUAAAUACAAUGUCUUCAUCUGGGGCAAACGUUGGGUUUCUUUUCUGCACCUCUAUUAAAAACUGGGGUUUUGCCAGCAAGGGGUUGCUCAUCUAUGAUGCAAACCCAUUGUGUGUGCUGUAUCCACCUGGGAAAAUAUGAAGAUAAGGAUGCUCAUUGUGCCUUCAGUAAUAAAGUCUUUUCUCUUUGAUCUAGGAGUCCAGUGUCUUCAGCCCAUCACGUUGAAGCUGUGGGGGCUAAUAUGUUAGCUUGCAAGUGGCUUAAUAUCUCAUAGUCUUCAUUCUUGAUAAAGCUUCCCUAGUUUCUCAUGGGAGAAGGGCCUACUGGGAUUAUGGAGUCAGAGAAAGUGAUGCACAGAGUUAGUCAUUGGAAGCUGCACACAUUCUAAAUCCAGCAAUCACUGUCCUGAGUGAACAUGAAGUUCUGCAAUUACUCAGUGAUCACAAAGGUCCUCAAAGCUAACACUACUCACGAAGAUGGUGUGAGUUACAUUGGCUGACAAGCUCCAGCCAUGGACGCAAUUCCUUCUAGAAGCAAAAUUUAUCUCUAGACUCCUCCUGUAUUUUAAUUUAGCCACUUUUUUAGGGCCUACAAUUUUAGAUCUCCACAGGGCUCUUGAAACUUCUUGAACCUCAUCAGUAACAUGUCCAUUAGUGGCAUGACCCAAGAGUUCUAGAACAUCUAUUCAGCAAGUGUGUAUCUGAAAACUGAUCACCUCUGAUGAAUUAGAACGGAAUGACCAAGCUUUGGGAGAGGCAAAAGAAUUUCGGUGUUAAAGACUCAGAGUUUAAGAAGCAACAAAAAGAUUAUACAGAUGUGAAUAUGUGACCUUCCUCCACCAGGGCAUGUUGCCUUGGAAAAAAAUUUGCCUGCUCUGCUCAGGACCAUCACUCUGCCUGCCUGGGGCGGAACUGGAUUUUUUCCCCUGGAUUCUUUUCUUGUUGGGAGUGAGUGCAAAGCCUUCCAUCUAUCCCUGGCUACAAGCUGAAAGGCUGGGCACAGUUAAAAGUUUCUACUUUGCUUCAGGGUGUAAAUCUGGGUCCAUACAGGUGCUCUCCGCUGUAUGGUAGGCUACUUGAGGGGCCAUGAGCUUUCUUCUCCAUUUUCUCAACUUUGGCCAGAAACACAGCCAGCUGAGACACAUUUCCUCCUGGAUAUCCUUGUUGCGGGAAGUCAGGGAUCCAAAACAGAGGGACCAGCUGAAGCCAUGGCAGAAGAACAUAGAUUGUGAAGAUUUCAUGGACAUUUAUUAGUUCCCCAAAUUAAUACUUUUAUAAUUUCUUAUGCCUGUCUUUACUGCAGUCUCUAAACACAAAUUGUGAAGAUUUCAUGGACACUUAACACUUCCCCAGUCAAUACCCUUGUGAUUUCCUAUGCCUGUCUUUACUUUAAUCUCUUAAUCCUGUCAGCUGAAGAGGAUGUAUGUUGCCUCAGGACCCUGUGAUAAUUGCGUUAACUGCACAAAUUGUAGAGCAUGUGUGUUCGAACAAUAUGAAAUCUGGGCACCUUGAAAAAAGAACAGCAUAACAGCAAUGUUCAGGGAAUAAGAGAGAUAACUUUAAACUCUGACUGCCGGUGAGCCAGGCAGAACAGAGCCAUAUUUCUCUUCUUUCAAAAGCAAAUGGGAGAAAUGUUGCUGAAUUCUUUUUCUCAGCAAGGAACAUCCCUGAGAAAGAGAAUGUACCCCUGAGGGUAGGUCUCUGAAAUAGCCCCCUUGGGUGUGGCCGUCUUCUAUGGUCGAAACUGUAGGGAUGAAAUAAACCCCAGUCUCCCACAGGUCUCCCAGGCUUAUUAGAAACAGGAAAUUCCCACCUAAUAAAUUUUGGUCAGACUGGUUGCUCUCAAACCCUGUCUCCUGAUAAGAGGUUAUCAGUGACAAUGGUGCCUGAAACUUCAUUAGCAAUUUUAAUUUUGCCCCGGUCCUGUGGUCCUGUGAUCUUGCCCUGCCUCCAUUUGCCUCGUGAUAUUCUAUUACCUUGUGAAGCACGUGAUCUCUGUGACCCACACCCUAUUCGUACACUCCCUCCCCUUUUGAAAGUCCCUAAUAAAAACUUGCUGGUUUUGCGGCUUGUGGGGCAUCAUGGAAACUACCGACAUGUGAUGUCUCCCCCCGGAUGCCCAGCUUUAGAAUUUCUCUCUUUUGUACUCAGUCCCUUUAUUUCUCAAACCAGCCAACGCUUAGGGAAAAUA
ensembl:lncRNA novel transcript